GGCGGCGCGCGGCCGGCGCCGGUGGGGAACGCCUGCCACUCGAGUCCAGAAGAAAAAACAGCGCCGGCGUAUCGGCACCGACCUCCAUUGUCCCCCACCAAGCUUAUGUCAGGAUGGCACAAGAACUCGAACCGCGGUUUCCCCAAAACCCCUCGUUCAGUCUGAAAUUCAUGUGCUCUGCAUGUAAUUUCUCACUCACUGAACUUAUUUGGUUGGUGUCAGUAAUCAAGGUAAUUUGCAGCCCCGCCAAAAUGCAAUAUCAUGUACUCCCUCUGUAUCUAAAUAAUUGUAGUUUGAGUUCUCCCCGCAAACAAAAGCAAAGCAAUAGCAGGCCAGGUUGAGUGGCCGUGAAGAAAAUAUGGCAAACAUGUAUCCAUCUGCAAGCUUGCCUUAUAGUUUGGACCUGGCAUGUAAGCGAAAGAUGCUAAAACAAAAUCAUUAGAUUAA